UUGCGGGUAGGGGAGAACCGCCUUCUUUUUCCGAUCGCCAAGCAUAUUGAUACUCGCUCCGCUGGGUGAGAAAAGCGGCCACGCCAAUGUAAAUCGGAAUGAUGGUUUUCCGCAGAUGGGAGUGCGCCGCGCACUCCUAUUUCCUACCGCGGGAUGCGCGUUUGGCGAGCGCCAGGCACGACUGGGCUUUUAAAGAAUGCACUAUGGUCCAGAAGUUGAUUUUUUUGGCAUAAAUUCGAAAUAUUUAUGUUAAUGUUUUGUAUUUUUGAUUUAAAAUUCUUAAAGUUAAAACAUCAGACAUAAACGAAACUAAAAAAAAAAGCUUCACUGAAGCUUUUUAUGAGCUUUCCAAACCACGCAAUCGAACAGCUGUUUGGAAAUAAGAAAUUGGCGGCAAACUGCUCUGUUUACUUUUUGGCGUGAAAAUAAAUAUUCUUUGUCCGAACAAACUGUUGAUAAUAAUGGAAAUUGUUAGUCAGGAAAAUUAACAUGCGUCCCUUGUUUUUCGUGGAAUAAAACUAACGACCUGACGGCUGCUGACAAAAACUAAUUACGUCAGUUUAUACUAAUAUAUGUCGUUCUUUAUCGCUAAUUAACAACUUUUCCCCGUUCGUCCCCUUUUUCUCGCAAUUCCGCAAUAUUUAGCGACGUUCGAGUUUCGCCAUAGCGAUCUCUUCGAUAUUUGGCUCAGCAAUAAUCGCAAAAUAUCAUCUGUGUUAGAUAGCAUUUAUGAAAAAAUUAGCCAUUACCACGUCGAAGA